rnacentral:lncRNA from 1 species
GCCCAGCCAGUCCAACCCCACUUUAAAGGGAGCAAGAGAUAGGAUGUUGCCCCUUGCAAGUAGAGACUGCAGCACUUGAGCAUGCAGGGAGGUAAUGAGAGAAGAGCAAGAAGAAAGAAGAUCCAUCUUGCUAGCAGACAGUCAGACUUCAGGAGUUCUGCGCUGCACUAGGGCUGAAGCCCAUUUUUUGUCUGCGCUAAGUCUGGAUUCUCAUCUGCCAAGUGGGGCCAGAGAGCCUAGCAUCCAAGGAUAGAGAGGAAAUCUUCUGGAGAACCUCAACAAGGUGAAACAAGGUAUGUAGAUCUCAUUAAAUGAUUAUCUUGUGUACUUGUGUCUUGUGUGCAUGGGCUUUGUCUGCU